rnacentral:rRNA from 1 species
GGAGUCACGCCAGAAUCUUACCCGGAGAGACAGCAGAAUGAAGGUCAAGCUGAAGACUUUACCAGACAAGCUGAGAGGUGGUGCAUGGCCGUCGCCAGCUCGUGCCGUGAGAUGUCCUGUUAAGUCAGGUAACGAGCGAGAUCCCUGCCACUAGUUGCUAUCAUUAUUCUCAGGAAUAGUGGGGCGAAUUAGUGGGACUGCCGUUGUUAAAACGGAGGAAGGAAGGGGCUACGGCAGGUCAGUAUGCCCCGAAACUCUGGGGCCACACGCGGGCUGCAAUGGUAGUGACAAUGAGUUCCAAACUCGAAAGAGAGUGGCAAUCUCUAAACGCUACCACAGUUAUGACUGAGGGCUGUAACUCGCCCUCACGAAUAUGGAAUCCCUAGUAACCGCGUGUCAUUACCGCGCGGUGAAUACGUCCCUGCUCCUUGCACACACCGCCCGUCGUUUCAUCGAAGUUUGCUUUUAGCGAGGUGAUGUUUAGUUGACAUUAUCGAACUUGAGGUAAGUGACGAGGGAAAAGUCGUAACAAGGUGACCGUAGGGGAACCUGCGGUCGGAUCA